rnacentral:misc_RNA from 1 species
ACCACUAGCAAAAUAUAAGUUUCUGGUGGAGUUUAGGAUUUGACAUUCGCUUUGGGGACUCGCUGCCAGCGGGGCGCGAAUGUCAAAUCCACUCCACCAGGCAAGGCAAAGCAGGUCAUGGCUGAUUUUCACUACUACGAACCCUCAAAAGGCCACGGCCUCCGGCACGAUCCCUUCAAUGCCAUCGUUGGUNNNNNNCGGCCGAUCGGCUGGAUUUCAUCGAAGGAUGCCAAGGGACACAUCAAUCUUGCGCCCUACA